ACUCCUACGGGAGGCAGCAGUGGGGAAUAUUGCACAAUGGGGGAAACCCUGAUGCAGCGACGCCGCGUGGAGGAAGAAGGUCUUCGGAUUGUAAACUCCUGUUGUUGAGGAAGAUAAUGACGGUACUCAACAAGGAAGUGACGGCUAACUACGUGCCAGCAGCCGCGGUAAAACGUAGGUCACAAGCGUUGUCCGGAAUUACUGGGUGUAAAGGGAGCGCAGGCGGGAAGACAAGUUGGAAGUGAAAUCUAUGGGCUCAACCCAUAAACUGCUUUCAAAACUGUUUUUCUUGAGUAGUGCAGAGGUAGGCGGAAUUCCCGGUGUAGCGGUGGAAUGCGUAGAUAUCGGGAGGAACACCAGUGGCGAAGGCGGCCUACUGGGCACCAACUGACGCUGAGGCUCGAAAGUGUGGGUAGCAAACAGGAUUAGAUACCCUGGUAGUCCACACCGUAAACGAUGAUUACUAGGUGUUGGAGGAUUGACCCCUUCAGUGCCGCAGUUAACACAAUAAGUAAUCCACCUGGGGAGUACGACCGCAAGGUUGAAACUCAAAGGAAUUGACGGGGGCCCGCACAAGCAGUGGAGUAUGUGGUUUAAUUCGACGCAACGCGAAGAACCUUACCAAGUCUUGACAUCCUGCGACGAUGCUGGAAACAGUAUUUUCCUUCGGGACGCAGAGACAGGUGGUGCAUGGUUGUCGUCAGCUCGUGUCGUGAGAUGUUGGGUUAAGUCCCGCAACGAGCGCAACCC
rnacentral:rRNA from 1 species